GAUUCUUCUGUUCCUACACUUUCUGUAUUCAUCAAACAGCUACUUAUGUCAUGUUAAUCUAAUCAUUUGCGGAACUAUCGAAUAAUCGAUCUAGCCAGUAAAGAUUGGAAUUCCACGAAUUGCAUUGAAGAAUGUGUUUCUUUGCACUUUCUCAAGACACCGUAGGCAAAGAAAAAUCGCGGGUGAAGACUAUCAAUAACUUCUGCGGAAUUCGCGCUAAAGGUUAACCGAAAGAGCGACCCGUCGCGUGUGUUCACAGAUCGAUCGGAGAAAUCGUCGAUUGUAGCUGCAAGACCAUUUUUUACAAAACGACCUUUCUAUCAACACAAGAUCAAAGAUUAGAUUCUUAACUAUCUAACGCUAUUAUGUUACCCUUCAACAAAGAAUCUUCGGAUGGUCAUAGUUGACGUUAUGCAUGACGAUUUUACGGUUGAUGGAAGAUCUUGAAUUGGUGGAACGAAGUAAUAUGAUCGGAGAGAUUGAAAGCUGGAGGAUGGAAAAGGAUCACAAAAUAAGCGAGCAUAAAAGAAGAAAAAAGAUCGAUAGAAGAUUAGUGAAAGAAGAAGAAAGAGAAAGAAAACUAAAGUUAGAAAGGUAUACGAUAGUAUCUACGAGGGCUUCUGUCUUGAGCGUGACUGACCUUGUGAGGAGAAAUGUUGGUAUAGAGGAUCACGAACAUAAACGUAUAUUUGCUACGACUGGGUGGAAAGAGCGUGAAAAAGAAGCCUUGGCAUGGAAACUGGUUGACGUGUCCACAAUGGCGGGCAGGGUUACGUAGGCGCCCUUGGAUCCCUAUUCAGGAUCAGCCUCGUCGAAUAGGAGCUCGAAAAGGAUACGGUGCUCUCGGCAUCGCGAGCACCCACGCGAGAAACAGGGAAGCUUUGUGAAAAAAAGGGGAGAGAGUAACGGUAAAGAAAAGAAUAUUUAUAUUUCAAAAAUGAAACUCUUACGUUGAAUGCAAAUUAUCGCAAAUUGAAUUCAUCGAUUAUAAUUGUGAAAACAUGACACAAUUUAAGAUACUUGUAUUCGAGUAAUUAAAUUGGACAUAACGGAAGGCGACAGAGUGAAAAUGCAUCGAUAAUAUUUCUUUGAAAUGAAAAAAGAAAUGAAAAAAGGAAACAUCUGGCUGUAAUUGAAUAUUGGUCAUAGCAGAAAAAUGUAUUUCUUGUAGAAGCUAUUGAAACCACAAGUUCUUCUUUCAAAAAAAGCAAAAUCAAGUAUUCGAUAUAUUUUUUGCACUCUUAUAUAUCCAUUCUAGAAAUAUUGUCAUUUCUUUCUGCUUCUUGCAAAAACAAUGUGUCAAAGAAUCGAAGAUUGUUAUGUUAUUACUAACCCACGAUGGAACAAUGUUUCACUUUCAAUUUUUUUUUGAGAGACGAUAGUUUUUUAUAAGAGCAAAAUAAUAUUCUCUCAAA